AGCUCACUGGUCGAGUGAUCCUGCGCCGAAGAUUUCCGGGGCUAAAACUUACUACCGAAGCUACGGCAUCAGUAAUGAGGGGUAGGGGAGCUUCCCAUACGGGUUGAAGCAUGACCGUAAGGACAUGGGGACAGUAUGGGAGUGAGAAUGUUGGCAUGAGUAGCGAGAUGUGGGUGAGAAUCCCACAGGCCGUAAACCCAAGGUUU
rnacentral:rRNA from 1 species